UACGUAGGGGGCAAGCGUUGUCCGGAAUUAUUGGGCGUAAAGCGCGCGUAGGCGGUUUCUUAAGUCUGAGGUGAAAUCUUGCGGCUCAACCGCAAGCGGUCAUUGGAUACUGGGGAACUUGAGUGCAGAAGAGGAGAGUGGAAUUCGUCGUGUAGCGGUGAAAUGCGUAGAUAUGUGGAGGAACACCAGUGGCGAAGACGACUCUCUGGUCUGUAACUGACGCUGAGGUGCGAAAGCGUGGGGAGCAAACAGG
rnacentral:misc_RNA from 1 species